rnacentral:rRNA from 1 species
AUUGAACGCUGGCGGCAGGCCUAACACAUGCAAGUCGAACGGUAACAGGAAGAAGCUUGCUUCUUUGCUGACGAGUGGCGGACGGGUGAGAAAUGUCUGGGAAACUGCCUGAUGGAGGGGGAUAACUACUGGAAACGGUAGCUAAUACCGCAUAACGUCGCAAGACCAAAGAGGUGGACCUUCGGGCCUCUUGCCAUCGGAUUGGCCCAGAUGGGAUUAGCUAGUAGGUGGGGUAACGGCUCACCUAGGCGACGAUCCCUAGCUGGUCUGAGAGGAUGACCAGCCACACUGGAACUGAGACACGGUCCAGACUCCUACGGGAGGCAGCAGUGGGGAAUAUUGCACAAUGGGCGCAAGCCUGAUGCAGCCAUGCCGCGUGUAUGAAGAAGGCCUUCGGGUUGUAAAGUACUUUCAGCGGGGAGGAAGGGAGUAAAGUUAAUACCUUUGCUCAUUGACGUUACCCGCAGAAGAAGCACCGGCUAACUCCGUG